UCUGCUCUGCGUAUGCCUGAUUACAUCAGAUCUCAGACACUAAGCAGGAUAGGUCCUGAUUAGGACUUGGAUGGGAAACCUCUUAGGAAGAAAUGG